ACUCAAAUGAAUUGACGGGGACUUGCACAAGCGGUGGAACAUGUGGUUUAAUUCGACGCUAAACGAAGAACCUUACCAGGGUUAGAAAUCCAUACGAAGACCAUCAGAAACGGUGGUCGCCGCAAGGCGUAUGGACAGGUGCUGCAUGGCUGUCGUCAGUUCGUGGUUUGAACUGUUCCCUUCAGUGGGGUAACGAACGCAACCCCUGUUGCCUGUUAUAAGUGUCAGGCGAGACCGCCCAGCCCGUAGAACAUAAGUAAUUGUGUUUUGUGGGCUGGGAGGAAGGUGGGGAUGACGCCAAGUCAGCAUGGCCCUUUGAUACCCUGGGCUACACACGUGUUACAAUCGCAUCUACAACGGGACGCAAUGUCGCGAGACGGAGCAAACCCUUAUAAAAGAUGCGCCAGUUCGGAUAGGAGUCUGCAACUCGACUCCUUGAAGCCGGAAUCGCUAGUAAUCGCAGGUCAGCUAUACUGCGGUGAAUACGUUCUCAAGUCUUGUACACACCGCCCGU
rnacentral:rRNA from 1 species